UCUCUCUGAAUCUGCGAACGGCUCCGCAAACCAGUUGUAAACUAUUGCUAGCACGCUCAUCGUCUUCGGAUGGUGGGCUAUAAGGAUAACCCUGGUAAUUCUGAGGCUAAUACUCGACCGUAAAACUCGCUGGUCUGGGUAACUGGUAAGGCGAGGGACGUGUAAUUGAUCGCAGGAGAUGCCGGGAAAGGAUGCACGUUCUGACCACCAUACAAACAGUAUCCUGGAAGCUCGCAAGGGCAGAAGGGUGUCUGGGUGGCUCUAGCAUUGUGCUUCUGACCUAUCAACUAGAUGGCAGUGUAAGGGACAUGCCAUGGUUACAACGGGUACAGAGGAUAAGGGUUCGAUCCUGGAGAGUGGGCCUGAGAGAUU
rnacentral:rRNA from 1 species